AACGAACGCUGGCGGCAGGCCUAACACAUGCAAGUCGAACGCCGUAGCAAUACGGAGUGGCAGACGGGUGAGUAACGCGUGGGAACAUGCCCUUUGGUUCGGAAUAACUCAGGGAAACUUGAGCUAAUACCGGAUAAGCCCGAGAGGGGAAAGAUUUAUCGCCGAAGGAUUGGCCCGCGUCCGAUUAGCUAGUUGGUGAGGUAAUGGCUCACCAAGGCGACGAUCGGUAGCUGGUCUGAGAGGAUGAUCAGCCACACUGGGACUGAGACACGGCCCAGACUCCUACGGGAGGCAGCAGUGGGGAAUAUUGGACAAUGGGCGCAAGCCUGAUCCAGCCAUGCCGCGUGAGUGAUGAAGGCCCUAGGGUUGUAAAGCUCUUUCGCCAGGGACGAUAAUGACGGUACCUGGAUAAGAAGCCCCGGCUAACUUCGUGCCAGCCGCCGCCGUAACAC
rnacentral:rRNA from 1 species